CUGAUUACAAGAGGGUAGAGAAGACAGUGCAGUAUUUCAAUUCCAAAAGAGUAUCGUUAGUCAUGCUUCUUUCUUUUUUAGUUAUCAGAUCUGUGGCAGUUAAGAGAAGAAUUAAUUAAGCAUCUUGACAGCCUUAUGGAAGCCUUGCUCUCAGAGAAAGACCAGUGUCAUUACAUUUUUGCUGCAGUGAUGAUGAAUCUGAUUAGCAGACGGCAACUGAGGAGAGAAGAACAGCAAGUGGAGCUGGGGAGGAAAUGGGAGCUGGGUAAGGCUGCAGCUUCCCCGGCCUUCAGUCCCUGAGAUGACAGAGGGGACAUGCAGAAACCCUUCCUGCUCUGUGUGGUCAGAGCUGCACAGAGCACUGCACAGCGCUACAGCUUGGAAGCGUGAGCUUUUUUUUUUUUUUUC
ensembl:lncRNA